rnacentral:lncRNA from 1 species
UUCUCCAGAGGAGGAGCGGCUCGUGCGCCCCCAGACCUCCGGUACUGGGAGACUCGGGCCCUCCUGUAAGAGACCUGAGCACGGAGCGUUAUGGGCACCCGGUGAAUGAGCAAAUCGCAGGGAAAACCGUGCAGCCCCAUGGACUGCGGGCUUUUCCUUCACGACUAGCAAAAGCUUUGACACCCUUUCUCCUGCGUACGUGUGUCUGUGUGCGUGUAAGCUGUGGCUGGGUGCGGGCGGCUGUGUACGUGUCUGUGUGUGGUGUGUGUGGAGUGUUUGAGGCAGGUGUGUGGUGUUUCAGGUGUGUGUGCAUGUGUGUGUGGUUGAGGUGGUGUGUGUGUUUUUUUGUAGUGUUUGAGGGAUAUGUGUGUGUGGUGUUUGAGGGGUGUGUGUGUGGUGUUUGAGGGGUGUGUGUGUGGCGUUCGAGUUGUGCGUGUGUUUGAGGGGUGUGUGGGGUGUGUGUGUGGUGUUUGAGGGGUGUGUGUGAGGGGUGUGGGGGAUGUGUGUGGUCUUUGAGGUCUGUAUGUGUGGUGUUUCACGUGUGUGUGUGGUUGAGGUGUGUGCAGUGUUUGAGAGGUUGUGUGUGUGUGUGUGUGGUGUUUAAGGUGUGUGUGUUUGAGGUUUAUGUGUGGUGUUUGAGGGAUGUGUGUGCAUGUGGUUGAGGUGUGUGUGAUGUUUGAAGUUUGUGUGUGGUGUUUGAGGUGUGUGUGUGGUUGAAGGGUGUGUGUGGUGUUUGAGGGGUGUGUGUGGUUGAGGGCUGUGUGUGGUGUUUGAGGGGUGUGUGUGGUGUAAGAGGGGUGUGUGGUGUUUGAGGCACG